rnacentral:rRNA from 1 species
GAUGGCACUCUGUCGGCGCUAACUUCUUAGAGGGACAAGUGGCGUUCAGUCACACGAGAUUGAGCAAUAACAGGUCUGUGAUGCCCUUAGAUGUUCGGGGCCGCACGCGCGCUACACUGAAGGAGUCAACGUGUCUGCUUCCUGAUCCGAAAGGACCGGGCAACCCGAUGAACGUCCUUCGUGCUAGGGAUUGGGGCUUGUAAUUCUUCCCCAUGAACGAGGAAUUCCCAGUAAGCGCGAGUCAUAAGCUCGCGUUGAUUACGUCCCUGCCCUUUGUACACACCGCCCGUCGCUACUACCGAUGGAUGGUUAGGAGAUCCUUGAUGUCCCGCCGAGAC